rnacentral:rRNA from 1 species
UAGGGGGCCAGCGUUGUUCGGAAUUACUGGGUGUAAAGGGUUCGUAGGCGGUGCGGCAAGUUGGGAGUGAAAUCUCUGGGCUUAACCCAGAGGCUGCUUCCAAAACUGCUGUGCUUGAGUGUGGGAGAGGCGCGUGGAAUUGCAGGUGUAGCGGUGAAAUGCGUAGAUAUCUGCAGGAACACCCGUGGCGAAAGCGGCGCGCUGGACCACUACUGACGCUGAGGAACGAAAGCUAGGGGAGCAAACAGG